rnacentral:rRNA from 1 species
UACAGAGGUCUCAAGCGUUGUUCGGAUUCAUUGGGCGUAAAGGGUGCGUAGGCGGCGCGGUAAGUCGGGUGUGAAAUCUUGGAGCUUAACUCCGAAACUGCAUUCGAUACUGCCGUGCUUGAGGACUGGAGAGGAGACUGGAAUUUACGGUGUAGCGGUGAAAUGCGUAGAUAUCGUAAGGAAGACCAGUGGCGAAGGCGGGUCCCUGGACAGUUCCUGACGCUGAAGCACGAAGGCCAGGGGAGGCAAACGGG